rnacentral:rRNA from 1 species
AACGAACGCUGGCGGCAUGCCUAACACAUGCAAGUCGAACGAGAUCUUCGGGUCUAGUGGCGCACGGGUGCGUAACGCGUGGGAAUCUGCCCUUUGGUUCGGAAUAACAGUUGGAAACGACUGCUAAUACCGGAUGAUGACGAAAGUCCAAAGAUUUAUCGCCAGAGGAUGAGCCCGCGUAGGAUUAGCUAGUUGGUGUAGUAAAGGCGCACCAAGGCGACGACCCUUAGCUGGUCUGAGAGGAUGAUCAGCCACACUGGGACUGAGACACGGCCCAGACUCCUACGGGAGGCAGCAGUGGGGAAUAUUGGACAAUGGACGAAAGCUUGAUCCAGCAAUGCCGCGUGAGUGAUGAUGGCCUUAGGGUUGUAAAGCUCUUUUACCCGGGAUGAUAAUGACAGUACCGGGAGAAUAAGCUCCGGCUAACUCCGUGCCAGCCGCCGCGGUAA